CUCCAGGGGGUGUUACAAACCAACACUACCGACAGCGUAACACCAAAUAGAAACAUGUUUAAUGGUGGUAAAAGUGAAGGGGAAUCACAUGAAUUACAAAUGUUUAACCUGUCCUGUUUAGCAAUUGCCACAAAUGCCUACUGCAUGGAAAAUAAAUUGGGAGAAGGGGGUUUUGGGCCAGUUUAUAAGGUAUGUUUGAUUAUUAUAAUAAUUGUGAUGAACUUUUGCACAUUUCUAUUUACUACAAUUUCUGUAUGGGCAUUGGAGUAUGGUUUAUAGGGCAAAUUAGAAAAUGGGCAGCAAAUUGCAGUGAAAAGACUUUCGAAAAGCUCUGGACAGGGUAUUGAAGAGUUCAAAAAUGAGGUUAUGUUGAUUCCCAAACUUCAGCACCGUAACCUUGUGAAGUUGCUCGGUUGCUGCAUAGAAGGAGAAGAGAACAUGUUAAUAUAUGAGUUCAUGCCCAACUCUUAAUAAAUAUUAAGAGUUAUUCAUCGAGAUCUCAAAGUCAUUAACAUUCUCUUGGAUGAAGACAUGACCCUAAAAAUUUCAGACUUUGGGAUGGCAAGGAUAUUUGGUGGGAAACAAACUAUCGAUAAUACUAACCGGGUCGUUGGUACAUUUGGUUAUAUGUCUCCGGAGUACGUAAUGGGAGGGACAUUUUCGGAGAAGUCUGAUGUCUUCAGUUUUGGAGUGUAAUUAGUGCUUGAACUUGUAAGUGGCAAGAGAAAUAACAGCUUCUACAGUUCCGAACAACCUUCAAACCUUCUUCUUCAUGCUUGGGGUCUUUGAAAUGAAGGAAAAUGGUCAGAUAUUGUCGAUGAGGAUUUGGGUGAUCUAGGUUCUCCUUUCGAAGUGAUGAAAUGCAUACAUAUUGGUCUGCUAUGUUGUCAGAAUAGAGCAGUAGAUAGGCCGACCAUGGCUGAAAUGGAUCUCAUGCUUAACUGUGAUAUUGAUCGUCCAUCUCCCAAAGAACUUUUCAGAUAAUCCUGGUAACUCCUCAAGUCACAUUUGAAGGUCGAUAGGGUUUUUUUCUUUUACUUUUCCCUUUUUUUCCGAACAAACUCACAAGGAGGAUUAUACUACUAAAGAAGAUGAAAAUAAAACAGGGAGGGGAGGCGAAGGGCCUGACCUCUUGAAGAGAGGAAGAAAGCACCUUAUCAAUUGUUCACAGUGUAUUCAGUUUACAUAAGUUCCUUAUCAGUAUUCUCCACAAUAGUUUUCAUUAUGUUUCCAGAGUAGAACCAGUUGGAUUAAUAUGAAGCUGCCUGUCUAUCUCAAGAAUGCUGCUCAUUUUCAUAUGAAUCAACUCUUUGUAACAUAAACGAGUGGCCAUUUGGUCUUAAUAAACAAAGUUAUUUGACCACA